GACGGAGGAUGCAAGUGUUAUCCGGAAUCACUGGGCGUAAAGCGUCUGUAGGUGGUCAAAUAAGUCAACUGUUAAAUCUUGAGGCUCAACCUCAAAAUCGCAGUCGAAACUAUUCGACUAGAGUAUAGUAGGGGUAAAGGGAAUUUCCAGUGGAGCGGCGAAAUGCGCAGAUAUCAGGAGGAACACCGAUGGCGAAGGCAGGUCUCUGGGCAUUAACUGACGCUGAGGAGCGAAAGCAUGGGGAGCGAACAGG
rnacentral:rRNA from 1 species